rnacentral:rRNA from 1 species
AGAGUUUGAUCAUGGCUCAGAUUGAACGCUGGCGGCGUGCCUAACACAUGCAAGUCGAGCGGUAACAGGUGUAGCAAUACAUGCUGACGAGCGGCGAACGGGUGAGUAAUGCUUUGGAAUCUUCCCAGUAGUGGGGAAUAACCAGUCGAAAGAUUGGCUAAUACCGCAUACGUCUGUAAAGGGAAAGCGGGGGCUCGUAAGACCUCGCGCUAUUGGAUGAGCCAAAGUCGGAUUAGCUAGUUGGUGGGGUAAUGGCCUACCAAGGCGACAAUCCGUAGCUGGUCUGAGAGGACGACCAGCCACACCGGAACUGAGACACGGUCCGGACUCCUACGGGAGGCAGCAGUGGGGAAUAUUGGACAAUGGGGGAAACCCUGAUCCAGCGACGCCGCGUGUGUGAAGAAGGCCUGCGGGUUGUAAAGCACUUUUAGUGGGGACAAAAAGCCAUGGAUUAAUACUCUGUGGUCUUGAUUUAACCCAAAGAAAAAGCACCGGCUAACUCUGUGCCAGCAGCCGCGGUAAUACAGAGGGUGCGAGCGUUAAUCGGAAUUACUGGGCGUAAAGCGCGCGUAGACGGUUUUGUAAGUCAGAUGUGAAAUCCCUGGGCUCAACCUGGGAACUGCAUUUGAAACUGCAUGGCUAGAGUAUCGAAGAGGGAAGUGGAAUUUCCGGUGUAGCGGUGAAAUGCGUAGAUAUCGGAAGGAACACCAGUGGCGAAAGCGACUUCCUGGUCGAAUACUGACGUUCAUGUGCGAAAGCGUGGGGAGCAAACAGGAUUAGAUACCCUAGUAGUCC